GGGACCCAGCUGCAGAGAGGGAGGAGUGAUGAGCAAAGGGGUUACGACUUGGCAGGUGCAUGUGAUCUUGGGAGACACACAAGCUCCUGGAAGAUGUGAGGAUAAAUGAAGAUGGGACUCAUUUUGAUGCUUCCAUGAGGGCAUCGAACAAGGGGGACUUGGCAGUGAUGGAAAUGUUGGCAGGGGCACCCUCAUUCCUGUAAGCGACCCCUCACCCAUAUUCCUCGAGUAAGCCCAAUAAACUCAUUGUUUCACCAAA